CGCCAGAGUCGGAGAGCUGCCCCGCCCCCGAGCCACGAGCCCUGGGCCCGGGAAGCCUCUGGUGCCCCACCACCACCACCACCACAAACCUUAGCGCCCUCCACCCACUUUGGGGAAAUUUCAGCCUUAAAGAAAGGAGGUCGUGCCCUGCCCCCCCUCCCCAUCUUCCCCUCCUGCCAACAGGGAGAUUCUUCCAUAGGAGCCAUGGAUGGAGAAAAGAUGCCGGGCCUAGCGCGUUUGGGGAUCCUCUCUGGACAAGGCCACAGAGUGAAAACACCAGAUCUGCUCAGCUUACUGGAGACCAGCUGGACCCAACCAAUACACACCUCUUAUCAUGGAGAGGAACAUGAGGCAUGUCCCUCAAUCAGGAAUAAAACACCAUGAGUGAAGAAAACAGGAAUACUGCCCUGGGUUUUCAUACAAGAAGGGGGUCCAAUGAUCAGGAGCUGGUCCAAACAGAAGCUUCAGCAAGGGGUGGGUAAGUACAUCAGGGACCAGAUAGAGAUGAAAUUGGAACAAACUUUCUGAAGGAGCCACUUUUAUGUCCACCCAGGUACAUAAGGUUGGGGGUAGUGGAAGGCAGACAGACAGACAGACCUACCUCUUCCCUCCCUCUCAGUUGUGCUACUGAAUAUAGGAUGGUUGCUCUGGAUGUCCCAACCUCUGCAAGAUGCACAGGAUGUCAGGACUGGGUCCGCAGAGACCCUUUUCUUAGCUAGCCCUCCUCCUCCCACUCUACCUGUCUUACCACCACCCUUUUCUAUGAAGAGUGAAAAAGAGUUCCUUGACCCCAAAUUUCGCUUCUUGGUGUCAAAGUCUAUUUCCACCCCUCCCAUGUGACUUUCUACAAGCAGGCCGAUCCCUUUCCCCCAGCUUCUUCUUCUUUUUUUUUUUUUUUUUUUCUUUUUGCUAUUUCUUUGGGCCGCUCCCGCGGCAUAUGGAAGUUCCCAGGCUAGGGGUCUAAUUGGAGCUGUAGCCACCAGCCUAUGCCAGAGCCACAGCAACGCGGGAUCCGAGCCGCGUCUGCAACCUACACCACAGCUCACGGCAACGCGGGAUCAUUAACCCACUGAGCAAGGGCAGGGACCGAACCGGCAACCUCAUGGUUCCUAGUUGGAUUCGUUAACCACUGCGCCACGAUGGGAACUCCCCUUUCCCCCUGCUUCUAAGUGACCUCAUUUCCUAACCCUAACCCUAACCCAGCCCCUCAAGUGACUUUGCACACACACCCCUACCCCACAGAAUUCGAUUUCAGAUAGAAUGUCCCAUAGCUUAUUUUUCUACUUUCAUGGGAUUCUAGGGGAAACAAAGGCACCCCUCAGCCCCUGUAGACAGUGAUCACCGGUGCUGAAAAGAGAAAGAAGGAGGGAGACAGAGCAAAGGA
rnacentral:lncRNA from 1 species